GACGAACGCUGGCGGCGUGCUUAACACAUGCAAGUCGAACGGAAAGGCCAUGCUUUUGUGGGGUGCUCGAGUAGCGAACGGGUGAGUAACACGUGAGUAACCUGCCCUAGACUUUGGGAUAACUUCAGGAAACUGGGGCUAAUACCGGAUAGGAGCUCAUGCUGCAUGGUGGGGGUUGGAAAGUUUCGGCGGUUGGGGAUGGACUCGCGGCUUAUCAGCUUGUUGGUGGGGUAGUGGCUUACCAAGGCUAUGACGGGUAGCCGGCCUGAGAGGGUGACCGGCCACAUUGUGACUGAGAUACCGCCCAUACUCCUACUGGAGGCAUCAGUGGGGGAUUUUGCACACUGGGCGGAAUCCUUAUGCAGCAACUCCGCGUGCUGGAUGACUGCCUUCGGGUUGUAACCCGCUUUCGCCUGUAACGAAGCGUGUGUGACGGUAAUGGGUAAAGAAGCACCGGCUAACUACGUG
rnacentral:rRNA from 1 species